GCCAAGGACCUGCCCAGCAGCCAGGCAGGGGCCUUGGUGGAGGGAGCCAUCGCCACAAGGGCUGCUUCCCAGGCAGGCCGGGGAUCCCGGGGCACCCCACCCCACCCCCAGCAACAUACACAAGGCGUCCCCUGCACUUUCAGCGGGUGCAACUGGAGUACGGCGGAGGGGGCGGGGGAGGUAUGUGGUUAUCCCAAACCGGCCACUCUCAGCCGGAGGAGAGCUGGAGCUCUGGUCCUCCAAGGAGAAUCCAGGGCAGCAGAAGCCUCACAUCCCCCAACCCCGCCUCCGCUUUGCAGACUGCAGAUGAGUGGAGUAACUUACCGAAGGUGACACCGCUAGAACACAGCAUAGCUCAAACUCCAAGCCAGAAUGGAACCAGCAGCCAUGUCGUACAGCUGUGAGAGACUGAGAAGGCACAGAGCCACUGCCUGACACAAGGAGCCAGCAUCAUUCCUGGAAUCUUUGGGAGAAGUGAAGGGGCAGGUCAAUAAAAGAAUAAAGACAGGUGAGAACAGCCUAAGGUCUCCUCCGACAUGAAUGACCCAGAAGUGGACCGGUACAGUCCAGUACCCAGUCACCUGUUUUCAACUCAACUUCUCCUUGUGCCUCCUGAGGCUUCCUCUGACAAUCAAGAAGGGCAGUGGGGUAUAAGGACAGCCACAGAUCCAUCCUAUUGUGAGGACCUGGAUUCACUGUGCUAUCAGCAGUGGGAGGCAUGCAAUUUGUCCACUAAUUCCCAGGGCUUAGUAGUGCUGGCACUCCCACAAGUCAGCCAGGUCAGCAAUGCAAACGGAACAGAGCCAUCUGAGAGCCCAUCCCACCACAUUACUUGAAGCAAUCAAGCAACCCCCAGACUUGAGUUCACCUGAAAGGCAACUGAUAAUCCUACAGGGAGCUGCUUUCCCAGACUCCCGUCUCCCACCCCCACCCCCACCCCCACCCC